UACGUAGGGGGCUAGCGUUGUCCGGAAUCAUUGGGCGUAAAGCGUCCGCAGGUGGCUAUGUAAGUCUGCUGUUAAAGAGUGAGGCUCAACCUCAUAAGAGCAGUGGAAACUACAUGGCUAGAGUGCGUUCGGGGCAGAGGGAAUUCCUGGUGUAGCGGUGAAAUGCGUAGAGAUCAGGAAGAACACCGGUGGCGAAAGCGCUCUGCUAGGCCGCAACUGACACUCAUGGACGAAAGCUAGGGGAGCGAAUGGG
rnacentral:rRNA from 1 species